GCUUACGGCCAUACCAGCCUGAAUACGCCCGAUCUCGUCCGAUCUCGGAUCCCAAGCAGGUAAGGGCCUGGUCAGUACUUGGAUGGGAGACCGCCUGGAAAUAUCAGGUGCUGUAAGCUU
rnacentral:rRNA from 1 species